UGGGGAAUAUUGCACAAUGGACGAAAGUCUGAUGCAGCAACGCCGCGUGGAGGAUGACACAUUUCGGUGCGUAAACUCCUUUUAUAUGAGAAGAUAAUGACGGUAUUAUAUGAAUAAGCACCGGCUAACUCCGUGCCAGCAGCCGCGGUAAUACGGGGGGUGCAAGCGUUACUCGGAAUCACUGGGCGUAAAGAGCAUGUAGGCGGAUUGAUAAGUUUGAAGUGAAAUCCUAUAGCUUAACUAUAGAACU
rnacentral:rRNA from 1 species